AAUUGAUAUGUUCCGUCUACAUAUUACAAACAUUUGGGAAGGGCAUAAAAUAAAAGUGAAGAAAUGCUUCUUCUUCUUCUUCAUUGCCUUUUGCCUCUGAUGCUUUCGUUCCGAUUCGGGAACCAAUUGUUGUCUUCUUUCUUUUC
ensembl:ncRNA C13G3.9 ncRNA